rnacentral:rRNA from 1 species
AACGAACGCUAUCGGUAUGCUUAACACAUGCAAGUCGGACGGACUAACCAGGGCUUGCUCCAAUUAGUUAGUGGCAGACGGGUGAGUAACACGUGGGAAUCUGCCCAUCAGUACGGAAUAACUUUUAGAAAUAAAAGCUAAUACCGUAUAUUCUCUACAGAGGAAAGAUUUAUCGCUGAUGGAUGGGCCCGCGUCAGAUUAGGCAGUUGGUGGGGUAACUGCUUACCAAGCCGACGAUCUGUAGCUGGUUUGAGAGGAUGAUCAGCCACACUGGGACUGAGACACAGCCCAGACUCCUACGGGAGGCAGCAGUGGGGAAUAUAGGGCAAUGGGCGAAAACGUGAUCCAGCAAUGCCGGGUGAGUGAUAAAGGCCCUAGGGUUGUAAUGCUCUUUGAGCAAAGAAGAUAAUGACGUUACUUGCAGAAAAAGCCCCGGCUAACUCCGUG